UACGUAGGGGGCAAGCGUUGUUCGGAAUUACUGGGCGUAAAGCGUGCGCAGGCGGUGAUGUAAGACAGGUGUGAAAUCCCCGGGCUUAACCUGGGAACUGCAUUUGUGACUGCAUCGCUGGAGUGCGGCAGAGGGGGAUGGAAUUCCGCGUGUAGCAGGUGAAAUGCGUAGAUAUGCGGAGGAACACCGAUGGCGAAGGCAAUCCCCUGGGCCUGCACUGACGCUCCAGUGCACGAAAGCGUGGGGAGCAAACAGGAAUUGAGAUACCCGGGGUA
rnacentral:rRNA from 1 species